rnacentral:rRNA from 1 species
GAUGAACGCUAGCGGCAGGCUUAAUACAUGCAAGUCGAGGGGCAGCAUGGUGUAGCAAUACACUGAUGGCGACCGGCAAACGGGUGCGGAACACGUACGCAACCUUCCUUCAAGUGAGGAAUAGCCCAGGGAAACUUGGAUUAAUACCUCGUAACAUUGUGAAGUGGCAUCACUUUAUAAUUAUAGCUCAGGCGCUUGAAGAUGGGCGUGCGACUGAUAGGUAGUUGGCGGAGUAACAGCCCACCAAGCCUGCGAUCAGUAACUGGUGUGAGAGCACGACCAGUCACACGGGCACUGAGACACGGGCCCGACUCCUACGGGAGGCAGCAGUAAGAUAUUGGUCAAUGGACGCAAGUCUGAACCAGCCAUGCCG